rnacentral:rRNA from 1 species
UGCCUAACACAUGCAAGUCGAACGCCCCGCAAGGGGAGUGGCGAACGGGUGAGUAACGCGUGGGAACCUACCCAGCAGUUGGGGAUAACCGCGGGAAACUGCGGCUAAUACCGAAUACGUCCUGAGGGAGAAAGAUUUAUCGCUGUUGGAGGGGCCCGCGUCGGAUCAGCUAGUUGGUGAGGUAAUGGCUCACCAAGGCAUCGAUCCGUAGCUGGUCUGAGAGGAUGAUCAGCCACACUGGGACUUAGGCACGGCCCAGACUCCUACGGGAGGCAGCAGUGGGGAAUAUUGGACAAUGGGGGCAACCCUGAUCCAGCAAUGCCGCGUGAGUUUAAGGCCUUAGGGUUGUAAAGCUC